rnacentral:rRNA from 1 species
ACGUGAUACAAUGGUAGGUACAAUAAGAGGCAAGACCGUGAGGUGGAGCAAAACUUAUAAAGCCUAUCUCAGUUCGGAUUGUAGGCUGCAACUCGCCUACAUGAAGCUGGAGUUGCUAGUAAUCGCGAAUCAGAAUGUCGCGGUGAAUACGUUCCCGGGCCUUGUACACACCGCCCGUCACACCAUGAGAGCUGGUAACACCCGAAGUCCGUGAGGCAACCGUAAGGAGCCAGCGGCCGAAGGUGGGAUUAGUGAUUGGGGUGAAGUCGUAACAAGGUAGCCGUAGGAGAACCUGCGGCUGGAUCACCUCCUU